UACGGGGGGAGCAAGCGUUGUUCGGAUUUACUGGGCGUAAAGGGCGCGUAGGCGGUCAGCACAAGUCAGUUGUGAAAUCUCCGAGCUUAACUCGGAAAGGUCAACUGAAACUGUGCGACUAGAGUGCGGAAGGGGCAACUGGAAUUCUUGGUGUAGCGGUGAAAUGCGUAGAUAUCAAGAGGAACACCUGCGGCGAAGGCGGGUUGCUGGGCCGACACUGACGCUGAAGCGCGAAAGCUAGGGGAGCGAACAGG
rnacentral:rRNA from 1 species